rnacentral:rRNA from 1 species
AGUGAACGCUGGCGGUAGGCCUAACACAUGCAAGUCGAACGGCAGCACAGUAAGAGCUUGCUCUUACGGGUGGCGAGUGGCGGACGGGUGAGGAAUACAUCGGAAUCUACUUUUUCGUGGGGGAUAACGUAGGGAAACUUACGCUAAUACCGCAUACGACCUACGGGUGAAAGCAGGGGAUCUUCGGACCUUGCGCGAUUGAAUGAGCCGAUGUCGGAUUAGCUAGUUGGCGGGGUAAAGGCCCACCAAGGCGACGAUCCGUAGCUGGUCUGAGAGGAUGAUCAGCCACACUGGAACUGAGACACGGUCCAGGCUCCGACGGGAGGCAGCAGUGGGGAAUAUUGGACAAGGGGCGCAAGCCUGAUCCAGCCAUACCGCGGGGGUGAAGAAGGCCUUCGGGUUGUAAAGCCCUUUUGUUGGGAAAGAAAAGCAGCAGGUUAAUACCCCGCUGUUCUGACGGUACCCAAAGAAUAAGCACCGGCUAACUUCGU